GUACCCUCAAGCUCUGCUUGGUGUUGGGUGUUUGUCCCGCCUCACGCGUGGACUCGCCUUAAAGUCAUUGGCAGCCGGAAUAAUUCUGGGGAACGCAGCACAACUGCAGCCUCCACUUUACGCCGAGCGUCCAGCAGGCCUUUUUUCAAC
rnacentral:misc_RNA from 1 species